UUUUCCCCAUCAGGCCCAGAUCUUUUGAAAAUAUCUGGUGGUUGCACCCAUCCUGCAGCUUGAAUGGUCUCAGCUCAGAUCUCUUCAUCAAGUCAGGCUUUACAUCUCAACACAGACUGUGCUUGAGAAUUAAAACCCACCAGAACAAUCCUCCCCGUUAUCAAAGGACAAACGCUGUUUGUUAAGGUCUGCUUUAAGGCCACACCCCCUGAAUAAGCUGGAGAUCACAUGUAAAACUGUUAUUGAUGUAUCCGCCAGGUAUGUUGACUUUACGUCCAUAAAUGUAGAAGCGAAGUGAAAUGUUUCUUCAGCGGUGCCACAUAUAUUUCUGAUUUUGUUUUUUGUUUUUGCGGGGGUGAUUUCCUAAAAACGGUCAAGCAUGGAUGAUUUAAAAGAUAGUGAAAGGUCUUUUAUCGCGGGUUUACCUGA